GUUUGAUCCUGGCUCGAUUGAACGCUGGCGGCAGGCCUAACACAUGCAAGUCGAGCGGUAGAGAGAAGCUUGCUUCUCUUGAGAGCGGCGGACGGGUGAGUAAAGCCUAGGAAUCUGCCUGGUAGUGGGGGAUAACGUUCGGAAACGGACGCUAAUACCGCAUACGUCCUACGGGAGAAAGCAGGGGACCUUCGGGCCUUGCGCUAUCAGAUGAGCCUAGGUCGGAUUAGCUAGUUGGUGAGGUAAUGGCUCACCAAGGCGACGAUCCGUAACUGGUCUGAGAGGAUGAUCAGUCACACUGGAACUGAGACACGGUCCAGACUCCUACGGGAGGCAGCAGUGGGGAAUAUUGGACAAUGGGCGAAAGCCUGAUCCAGCCAUGCCGCGUGUGUGAAGAAGGUCUUCGGAUUGUAAAGCACUUUAAGUUGGGAGGAAGGGCAUUAACCUAAUACGUUAGUGUUUUGACGUUACCGACAGAAUAAGCACCGGCUAACUCUGUGCCAGCAGCCGCGGUAAUACAGAGGGUGCAAGCGUUAAUCGGAAUUACUGGGCGUAAAGCGCGCGUAGGUGGUUUGUUAAGUUGGAUGUGAAAUCCCCGGGCUCAACCUGGGAACUGCAUUCAAAACUGACUGACUAGAGUAUGGUAGAGGGUGGUGGAAUUUCCUGUGUAGCGGUGAAAUGCGUAGAUAUAGGAAGGAACACCAGUGGCGAAGGCGACCACCUGGACUAAUACUGACACUGAGGUGCGAAAGCGUGGGGAGCAAACAGGAUUAGAUACCCUGGUAGUCCACGCCGUAAACGAUGUCAACUAGCCGUUGGGAACCUUGAGCUCUUAUUGGCGCAGCUAACGCAUUAAGUUGACCCCCUGGGGAGUACGGCCGCAAGGUUAAAA
rnacentral:rRNA from 1 species